rnacentral:sRNA from 1 species
UAGCAUACGAUGAUUGUGGUGUUCUGGUA